rfam:Trametes pubescens strain FBCC735 TRAPTBscaffold_1635, whole genome shotgun sequence.
GGCGAUAUGGCCGAGCGGUCUAAGGCGCUAGAAUCAGGCGGUUGUCUUAUCUAGUCCGAAAGGGCGUGGGUUCGAAUCCCACUGUCGUCA